ensembl:lncRNA
UCUAUUGUGAACUCAGUUGUAUUGGCCAUACAAUAGACUAUACUGAAUGAUAAGACCUCUCUACAGUUAGUUCCUGUGAUAUUGUGAUUUAUAAUAAAAAAUAUAUAUUUGGCCUUUGGUUCCUGGUCCACAGUUUCAAAUCCCUGGAAUUUCCUGAGCAGAAAGCAAGUACCUUUGCUAUAACAUUUGGUCUUUUGUCUUCAGUUCAUGAAAUCACUUCAGAGCAAACAAACUGAAAUGAGGGUCUUGCUAUUUAUAAUAAGCCCCCUUCCACUACAAUGGGGUUUGUGUUAAUGAGUUGACUUUUGGAAAGCACCUAAGGAUACUGCUGGUUACCAGGGGAACCAAUGGAAUAGAGGAAUAGAGGGCUUGAACUUUCAGUCCCACCCCUUGACCAGAGGGAAGAAGAAAGGGGCUGGCUGAUGAAUCAGUCACUCAUGUCCAAUGACUUAAUAAACUGUGCCUAAGUAAUGAAGCCUCCAUAAAACCCCAAAAGGAUGGGAUUAAGAGCACUCCUGGGUUGGUGAACAUGUAAAGAGUCAGGGAGAGGCAUACUCAGGGCACAAAGGAAGUUCCAAGUUCUUUUCCUAUACUUUGUCCUAUUUAUCUCUUCUAUUUGGCUAUUCCUGAGUAAUAUUCUUUUAUAAUAAAUGAACAAUUACUAGAGAAAAUGUUUCCCUGAGUUUUCUGAGCCACUCUAACAAAUUAAUUAAAAUCAAGGUGGGCAUAAGGUGAAACGCAUAGGUGAAAACCUGGAUUUAUAACUGGCUUCUGAAGUGGGAGGGUGGGACUUGUAGGAUGAUCCCUUAAUACGCAACCCAAGAAGGGGUAAAGAGAACCUCUGAUUUGUAGCUGAUCAUCAGAAGAAUAGGUAACAACCUGGGCUCACCAUUUUCUUCUAAAGUAAAUGGCAGUCUUGUGACACGGAGCCUUUAACCUGUGGAAUCUGAUGCUAUCCCCAGGUAGAUAGUGUCAGAAUUGAGUCAACUUGUAAGAUAUCCAGCUGGUGUCAGAAAAUUGCUUGUUGAUGUAGGGAAUGCCCUCCCAAACACAUACACUCGCCACACAGGAACUGGUGACCAGAAUCUUUAGGUCUCCAAAAUGGGAAUUCUUAAUUAUUUAUCUACAGGGUUUAUAAACCCUUUUAUAAGAACAAAGCCAAAAAAAAAAAAAAAUCAACUGAUCUCAACCACAUAAUUUGGAAUGCUAAAUAUACACUAUGUUUGAUAUCCAAGUGCAAAACAUAAAUGACUGUUGUCAGCCCCAUGGCUGAUCUUUAUAACUGGAACAGCCAUUAGGCUGCGCUACGGCACAUCUUUUACCUAUACAUGUGGUUUCCAUGAAGCGAUCCUUACUUAGAAAAGAAGUCAAAGCUUUAGCUAUCCAGAGUGUGCUGCUGUCCUGAAAGUGGCAGUUGUGGUUCUUCAAGCAUUCUAGCAUGUUUGCUUAGAAAGGUCAAUGGGUUACAGCUGCCAUCAUCCAGCCGUGGUGACAGGAACAUCAUCUGCAUAAACCAGUAGACUUGGAGAGGUAGGAGACAUAGAAUCCGAAGCUUAGGAGGAAAACACUGUCAAGGGCAAGAGAAGCAAAAUUAUCCAAGUGCACAAAAUCUGCUCUCCUAAGAAGAAUGUUAUCAAUGCAAAGACAAUAUCUAUAGCUAUAGGAAUAUCCUCUUUGCUUAUAAUCCUUUAACAUUUACUUAUAUCCCAAUAUUUACCACAAACAUGUAAUAAAGUUAAUAUGUAUAUAUUUGUCUCCUCCAUUGGACUCUGAGAACCCAACCCUCAGAAUCUUGUACUUGCGUGGAACUGAAUAAGGGGUACUUUCAUUACGUACGCCAUCUUAUAGAAUAGAUACUAAUAAUUUACAUAGGUUUUGGAUUUUUUCAAAAUAACUUAACAACUGAGUAAGUAAUCUCUUAUUGAAAUGGUGUUAGUUUUUAUGUCUUUUCAUAUCUUAUUUAUUCUACUGAAACAAACUGGGAAAAAAGUAUCAAAACUAUACUAAGAGAAAAGUGUGCCUCUCUGGAUUAGCCAAGGUAGAAAACAUGUAACGUUGUAUGUUAAUCUGAAUUAAUAUAAAUCAAGGAUUGCAAAUUGCAGUUGCAUUUGAGAUAAUGUGAACUAUUCUGACCAUGUCAGAAAACUAUUUGAUACAAUUAUUUAAAGCAAAAUCUUGGUUUUGACGUUUUUGAGUUUAAGAAGUCUAUUUUUAUAUCCAAUGAAGCCAAGUGUUUGAUAUUAAACCUGUCCUAAAAAUACUUGUGAUUGUUAUUGAUUUAAAAUACAAUGUGUUUAAUAUUCUAUUUUAACAGCUUUUAACUACAAAACCUGUCCUUAAAGUACAUCUAAUAACAUAAGUCAGAUAAUUAACAUUUCUUGAUAGAAGAGUUAGUUAACAUUGUCAAGUGUUUGAAUUUUAGGCGUUGGACUAGGAAACAGGGAAAAGACACCAUCUUUUUUUUUGGGAAUGACUGCAUAGGUUUUUAACUACUGAAAGUAAUAUGUACUACUAUUUAUAUUUUGAUAGCUUUCAACAGCUAAAUUAAGCUCAGAAACACAAAUAUGGCACUGAAAAAAUGGUCAUAGAAAAUUUUACUUGUAUCUUAUCAUUUUUUUCUUUCAAUAUCCCCCAUUUCAUUAAGAGGUAACUCUUAAAAUCUAUGCAGUGAGAGCUGAUGCUUAUCCUUCUCUCACAUCUAAACCUUGAAUAAAUUUUGUUAGAAUAGAUCUGUCUUCAGAAUAUAUCCAAAAAGUUCUCACCAGCUUCUUGCUAUCAGCUGUCACUUCUAGUUUGGAUUAUUACAAUAAUAUUUAAUCUUAAAAUGUUCAUGGGUUCAAUUGUUCACCCAUUGACUCAUCAAACAACUGCUAAUAAACAAACACUUAAAUCACAGUUAAGUACAAAAAGAAUUGCUCUUUUGGCCUUUACAAAAGGAAUACCUCUUAUCCACCCAUUAAAUUUACUGUGAUGCAUUAUUCCAGGGCAUAACUGCCAGAGUAGUAACCAAUCAAUCACAAGAAAAUUAAUGACUCAGUAAGGAAUCAUUUUCCAAGCUGAGAUUUCAAUGCUUUGCUUCUAAACCAAACUAAACUGGAGAACCUAAGAAUGAUACGUCACUAAGAAUAUUGUAAUAGGUCAUUGUCAGUAAUGAUUUUUGGCAUACAACAUUGAAGGAAUAAAAAGAACUGAAUGACAUUACUGUGUGACAUUUUUUUUUUUACUCCUCUCAUCUUAAAUGAACAAGAUGUGGCCUUUAUAUCUCUAAAAUUGAAAAAGAAUUUAUGUUGAACUCUGUUAGAUUCUAGCAAUAAAUAAUAUUCAUUCACAACUUUACCUAAAUGAUAAAAACCCCAAUCUCUUACAAAAUGUAUUCAGGAGUCCCCAUUGUGGCUCUGUGGUAACAAACCUGACUAGUAUCCAUGAGGAUGCAGGUUUGAUUUCUGGCCCUGCUCAGUGGGUUAAGGCUCUACAUGGCCUUGAGCUGCAGUGUAGGUUGCAGAUGCUGCUCCAAUCUGGCGUUGCUGUGGCAUAGGCUAGCAGCUGUAGCUCCGAUUUGACCUGGCAACUUCCAUAUGCCUCGGGUGCAGUCCUAAAAAGAAAAAAAGAAAAAAAGAAAAAAGAAAUGUAUUUCAAUAAAUUAUUUUUUAUAAUAUUCAAAAUUGUGACAUAUUCUGAUCAGCUGUAUAGUAGUAAUAGUUCUAAUGCUAAAAUUUUCUCUAAAUUGACAAUAUUCAGAAUAUUAUGAUCACACAAGAUAUGCAAUAAAUGUAAAUAUAAAUACAUUUUGCUGCAGGAAAAUGACAACCAAGAAGACUUUUCAUACCUAAAAUCUUACUACCUAACAGUAGAAUUCUCUAAGUCAGAGUUUCUCAGGAGCACAGCACUAUUGACAAAUAGGGCUGGUUAAUUUUUUGUUGUUGGGAAUUGCCUAGUGUAAUGUAAGAUGUUUUGCAAUAUCCCUGGCCUCCUCCACUAGAUGCCAGUAGCCCCUAUUCCCUAGUUAUGGCACCAAAAAUGUUUCCAGAUAUUGCCAAAUAUCCCAACUACCCUCCCCCUCAAGACAUAUUCUCUAAUUGAGUACCACUGCUACAAGGGAUAUAAUAGCAAUCAAUGCAAUAUAAUAUUUUGACUAUCAAAGACCUAGUUCAUUUUUAAAAAAUAUAUGAUGGGUAUGAAAAUACUAUGCUAUUUAAUUCCACUGCAUAUAUUUAAAAGCAUAAAUUAUUGUAAAAUUACAUUUUACAAUGUGGCAGAAAUUACAUUAUUUGUCUUUAUUUAAACUUAUGGGGAAGAACUCUGUAUGUCAGCUUACAAUGCAUUAGCCAAAAACAUUCUGAGGUUUAUAGGAUAGAUGGGUAAUGUUCAUUAACAUUCAUUUACUUUUCUCAAACCUUAAUAUGGUACUUUAGAACACUCUGGUUUUAUCUCAUACAGCUCUAAGCCUUCCCGCCUCCACUUGAGGAAUGUGUUACAUUCUUGAAGACUGUCUUUCCUGAUAAAAGUCUAGAAAACUUAACUGAAAGGAGUAUCAGGGCUUAACAAAUGUAAAAUACUUAGAUAUAAAGCAAGUAUUUUUCAAAAUUCAACUUAUAUAAGCUUGUAACUUUUUACAUACAAUCUUCAAAUGAUUCCUACACAAUUCCAAAGAUUUGAAGGCUAAGAAUAGUUUAAGAACCCAAAAGAUCUUUUCUAUACAUAGAAGCAGUACCUCCUUAAUCCUGCCACUAGUCUCUUAAACAGUCUCUCCUUAUGCCUCAAUACUCUCAGCUUAGUCACUGGCAAGAAUGCCAAGGAAUUCAUUCAUUCUAAAUAUAGAAAUGUAACGCCUUCUACUGUAUUAAAGUAAUUCCAUAUAAAUUAUCUUGUAUUAAUUGAAUACAUCUAUAGGACAAAUAGAAAAGAUGUUAGGAAUAAGAAAUCUGCAGUUUAGUAGUAACUUGCCUAGUUCACAGUUCAGCAGCAGAAGCAGAGCUGACAUCUCCAGACCAAUCACACCAAACACUAUUUCUAUGAAAUCCUCAUUUGAGAUUUUGCUCAGAACUUUACAUUGCAUGGAAUAAACGUACUGAAGGCACGUUAAAUCAAAUUACUGCCAAGGGUUUGAAAAAGCCCUUAGUUUCAGCAUUUUUCUUAAGCAGUCACUUUGUACAGGCUUUGAAGACUAAAUCUUCCAAUUUGUCGUCAAUCUAACAUCAUAUAAAAGUCACUUCUGUGUUGAACACCUUAAAUUGUAUAAAGGUUUUCUUUUUUCAAAGUUUGAAUUCUUAUAUCACGAAGGUCAAAAUACUGACUUCAACAGUACUUCUCAAGAGAAUGGCUCUGCCUUUUACAAACAGGUGUUGAGAACAAUAGAAGUCAAUUUAAUAAUCCAAUAUAUAGAUGUUUCUCAUUUAGCUACUCUUGAGUUCAUUCAUGCAGGCCAGUUCAUUGGUCUUCUAAAAGUCAUCAUUCAAUCGCUAUCAUUAACUCAGUUAAAACUCAGAUAUUUAAUACUGUAUCAGGAAUCACUUAUCCAACAGAAAAACUACUCAUUUUAAUUAUUCCAGCGCAAAAACUAAACAGCAUUAAAAUUACAUGUCCCAGCUACUGUGGAGUCUGGGUCCCCUAAAACUUCUACCAAAACGAGGCGCUGUAGUUCCGCAUUUCCGAGCUAUUUUUGUAGUCGUGGCGCGAACUUGAGCCAAGGUGCCGGUGUGGAGCACAGGCUGCCCCGGGUCCCCAAGGGUAC